rnacentral:rRNA from 1 species
CUACGGGCUGCACCAGUGGGGAAUAUUGCACAAUGGGGGAAACCCUGAUGCAGCAACGCCGCGUGGAGGAUGACGCAUUUCGGUGUGUAAACUCCUUUUAUAUCCCAAGAUAAUGACGGUAGGAUAUGAAUAAGCACCGGCUAACUCCGUGCCAGCAGCCGCGGUAAUACGGAGGGUGCAAGCGUUACUCGGAAUCACUGGGCGUAAAGGGCGCGUAGGCGGGUUGUCAAGUCUUGAGUGAAAUCCAACGGCUCAACCGUUGAACUGCUUGAGAAACUGGCAGCCUAGAGUGAGGGAGAGGUAGAUGGAAUUGGUGGUGUAGGGGUAAAAUCCGUAGAGAUCACCAGGAAUACCCAUUGCGAAGGCGAUCUGCUGGAACUCUACUGACGCUGAGGCGCGAAAGCGUGGGGAGCAAACAGGAUUAGAUACCCCCGUAGUC